AGCUUCAGACGGCUGAACAGCCAGGGCCAGGCCAGACCCAGGGCCUCCCCAGAGCCUGUGGGUGGGGCCUGUGUUUCUGGGUGUGCUCCUCAUUUCCUCUUACAGCCUGUCUCCACAAGCCAAGCGGCUGUGAAACAACGGCUUACAGUGACUCAGCUUUAAAAAUAGGACAUUUACAGUGAAAAUUACAGGAAAUUCCCAGUCUCCUGCCUGGGCUUAUUUUAGGUGUGCAGCUUACAAGAGUGAAGUCCCAGCCACCCUCCUCCAGCCUCCACUCUCUGCAGCAUCCUUGGGUGUCUGAUUUGGGGCAGAUCUCUUCUGCUCUGUGACCGGAAACCUCCCUGGGGGCAGUCUGAGGGGAACACAGAAUGGAGGAGUCCGUGCCCAGCCUUGUUCAGACGCUUCCAUGGGAGAAGGACAGCUAAAAUUUGUCUCCCACUUCCCAUGGGCCAAGCACUGUGAGUCUUAACCUGUGCUCGCUCACUGACUUUCAUCUACUCCCAGGAAGAAGGUACAUUUAUUAUUUCUGUUUUGUAGUUGGGGAAACUAGUAUUCAGACCCAGGUCUGACUCACUCUGGAUUUCAAGAGUGUAACCACAGACUCAGCUUCCCCUGAAAACAGAAUAAGAAGACAAAAGGAUCGCUCUUUUUCUGGAGAGAAAGACAGGGGAGGGUGCCAGUACCCUGGGCUUUUGAUUAUAUUUCCCUUUCCUUCCCCAGGGACACAUUUCUUGGCAGGAGGCCUUUUCUGGAAAGCUGAGCUUGAGCUUUCAGGGGUUCAGUUGCCCCUGCUGUACCUGGAUUUGCUGGAGAAGCUGAGAAAGCUGCCUGCACCCCAGUAGGAGGCUCUGCAAUGGGGGACACAGGCCACUUCAGGAUUAGGACCUAAAUGUUGUUCAGAUAUUUGCCCAGCAACUCCCAGUGUGCUUGGGAACUAGCGGCAGGAGCAGCCCUCCCUGAGUCAUUGAAUGCCGAUGCAUUAAUCAGAAAUGUGGAUGCAAUAUUUUUUUAAUGGCUCCCAACUUUUACUCCCCAUAAUUAGCAAAGGCCUCUCUCACCAAGGGUCCUUGUCGCAAGGAGAGGGCACUGCUUCUGGGCUCCUGGGUAAAGUAGCACGUUCCACAUUCUUGCGAUGAAGCUGGUGCACCCAUGCUUUUCAUCAAGCACCUGGAGCCGUCAAGGCUUUUCUGAACCACAGAACUUUGUUUCCAGCUGUCUAUGAGAUUUCUCCUCCUAGAUGCCCUCCAAAGCUCCUGAAUUCAUCAAGUUCAAAACAGUACACCCCAAACUGGCUUAUCUCAUAUUCUCUUUUAUGGUCAAUGACCUCACCUUCUACUAGUCUCUCUAGUUAGAAACCACUGAAUCAUCCUUAAUUCCUCUGCUUCUCUUCUCCUCCCCAUCCCGUGUCUAAUUGAUUCUCCCUCCUGGCAUCUUUUGCCUUCAGUCAUUUCUCCCCUCACUGCCUGGAGUACAAAGCAGAUGCUGUGUCCCGACCCCUCCCCUGACCUGCCUUUUUUUGACCCAGGAGUGGAUGCAUGACCCAAGCUGAGCUAAUCCGAGGCCUUUUGCAGGAUAUUUCAAACUGGAGGAAAUUUGAUGCUGCUUUCCUCUUUGGUGUCUAGCUGGAAGGCUGGGAGUCCAGAGAGGCCUGUGGCCGUGUGCCCUGGUGCCCGGAUAAAGCCUGUCUUCAGCAGGACAGAAGGAAACCAGACUGCAGAGAGAGGCCACGGUGAAGGACAGACAGACAUGUCCUAAUCCAGGCAUCCCCGAGCCCAGCUGCCAACUCCAAUCCAUCCUCCACAGGACCACCAGGUGAAUCACUUUCCUGCUCUUCAGGAAUGUCUAGGCGUGGUCUCCAAAGACGGCUGCCAUCAGUUCCUUCUCUCAUUGGAAGAACAUGCUGCUCCACUGAUCAAGAGGUGGGGUCUGUUUCUCCUUCUCUUGAAUCUGAGCUGGUCUUCUGACUCCUUACUACUUGUUUAGACUGAUGGAAAGCAGCAGAAAGGAUGCUGUGGCAGUUCUGGGCCUAACUUUUAAAAGGCUUGUCAGCUUCUGCUCUCACUCUCGGAGGCCGUGUAAGAAGUAUGACUACCCUGAGGCCACCAUGCUGUGAGGAAGCCCAAGCUAGCUGCAUGGAGACAGGCCACGUGGAGGGUUGCUUAAGUGACAGAUAUGUGAGUGUCUCCUUCUUCAACCUUCUGGCCCACCCAGCUAUCAACUGAAUGCAGAUGAGUGAGUGAUCCCACCUGACACCCAGUGGAGCAGAAGAGCUGCCCAAGCCUCACCCUGGUCAAGUUCCUGACCAGAAAGUUGAGAGACAUAAUAAAACCUUCUUGUUUGAAGUCACUAAGUUUUGGAGAGAUUUGUCAGGCAGCAUUAGGUAACUGAAACAUCUUUCCACUAGAAAGAUACUUUAUGAUCUUUGCCUAGUAGUACAUGGCACAUAUACGGACUCAGUCAAUAUUUAUUAAAUGUGUGAAUUUGGGGAAAAUGGAGAUGUCCAUUGACCAGAAGUCUUAAUAAAGCAAAAAUGAAGAUGUUUGACAGUAUGAAUGUUAGAAAUCAAGGAACUGAAGUUCAAAAGUUGGAUGUUAGAGUUUUUAGUUUAAAACAUU